rnacentral:tRNA from 1 species
UCCCUGGUGGCUCAGACGGUAAAGCAUCUGCCUGCAAUGCGGGAGACCCAGGUUCGAUUCCUGGGUCGGGAA